rnacentral:rRNA from 1 species
CGGUAACCUACCCUCGGGAGGGGGAUAACCCCGGGAAACUGGGGCUAAUUCCCCAUAGGCCUGAGGUACUGGAAGGUCCUCAGGCCGAAAGGGACUUAUGUCCGCCCGAGGAUGGGCCGGCGGCCGAUUAGGUAGUUGGUGGGGUAAUGGCCCACCAAGCCGAAGAUCGGUACGGGCUGUGAGAGCAGGAGCCCGGAGAUGGACACUGAGACACGGGUCCAGGCCCUACGGGGCGCAGCAGGCGCGAAACCUCCGCAAUGCGGGAAACCGCGACGGGGGGACCCCGAGUGCCGUGGCAACGCCACGGCUUUUCCGGAGUGUAAAAAGCUCCGGGAAUAAGGGCUGGGCAAGGCCGGUGGCGGCCGCCGCGGUAAUACCGGCGGCCCGAGUGGUGGCCGCUAUUAUUGGGCCUAAAGCGUCCGUAGCCGGGCCCGUAAGUCCCUGGCGAAAUCCCACGGCUCAACCGUGGGGCUUGCUGGGGAUACUGCGGGUCUUGGGACCGGGAGAGGCGGGGGGUACCCCUGGGGUAGGGGUGAAAUCCUAUAAUCCCAGGGGGACCGCCAGUGGCGAAGGCGCCCCGCUGGAACGGGUCCGACGGUGAGGGACGAAGGCCAGGGGAGCAAACCGGAUUAGAUACCCGGGUAGUCCUGGCUGUAAAGGAUGCGGGCUAGGUGUCGGGUGAGCCUCGAGCUCGCCCGGUGCCGUAGGGAAGCCGUUAAGCCCGCCGCCUGGGGAGUACGGCCGCAAGGCUGAAACU